GAGAACUACAGGGGAAGGAUCACUCGUUCCCUGCAUAGAGCUCCAGUGCUACUUUGGGUUGUGCCUGCUGAGCACUGCACACAGCAAUCGAGCAUUCUCACUCUGGCUUUCAAGAGCAGAGGAUACAUGCUUCCAGCCAAUUUAACUAGGAGGAACCUGUCUGCCAAGUGGAGUCACCUCCCUUCAUGGUAGUGUUUAUGAAAAUGCUGUUUAAAUGGGGAAAAACAAGGGAAGAGCAAACAUUCCUCAACCCUCCCAGUGCUUCUCCGCAGCACGGCCGCUCCUGCUGCGUGGGCUCCCGCACGUGACAAGGUGGUGCUUCUGGGAGCUGUUAUUUUAAAAUGUUGGCAGCACAUCCUUGGGUGGGACCUCUCCAUCUCAUAUCUUCUUACAUUCUCCUCUACCAGCUACUUUUCCUAUUUUAAUACCUCUACUUGUUGCUGUAGGUCUUGUGGCCAGAACAUAAUUCCUGCUUGUCCUCUGGGUGACUUUUCUGUAGGCUCUUGUGUGGCUCUUGGUGUGCUAAAGACCAUCACCAAAUUUGACAUCUUUGUAUCUGGUAUCCCUUCUUAUUCUGAUGAAACACUUAGUCAUCUUCCAUUGGUAUAGAUGGCUUUCACAGAAACCUACCCGUGUGGGCCACAGCCUGUCUGUGCUCAGGUGUGUAUGGAAGCAGUGUUACUCCAAAUGUGGAUUAUCUGUGCAAGGCACCUUCUAUUGUAAUGCUGCUGCACUUCAACCACCCCCAGCUGUCCUUCCAGCCUCCCCAAGGCUCUUCUCUGCUGCACUGCCCACAAAUCACUGUCACCUGAUAGUCUGGAAACUGGAGGCCAUCUGUGACCAUAGUGACUGCUGAUUUAUGGAAGCACACCCAUCUUUGUUAUUAUUCAUGCCACCUUUUUUGCACAUUUUUCCCUUAUUUCCUGAAUGUCUUGUCUUGGGAACAUGGAGUGCAAGGAGUAUGGGGUGGGAACUGCCUAAAGCAAUGAAUAUGAGGUGCAAAAUAGAUGAAGUAGGGCUUUGUGAAAAAUAUAUUGAGAAAUAAUAGUAUGUUUGGAGUAGAUACUUGUCAAAACAAGAUUGUAUCAAAUAUAAUUAUAGAGGAGAACAUAUCUACCUAGCUACGUAGGCCAGAAUCGCUGAUCAAGCUAAAGACUGGAAGGACCAUGAAGGCCUCUUGUUACCAUCAAAGCCUCUAUCUGGCUGAGGAUAGCCUUGUGGCUUUGAUGUAUUUUUCUUGUCUUUCAUAGCUCACAGGUUGCAGUUGGCUCCCAGGGCUGAGCACAGCUUUGAUGUUUUUGGGACAUGUGGCUGGACCCCCAGCACAGUGGCAGAGAACAGGGCCUGGUGUGACAGAUUUUUCUGGUAGACCUGUCCUAUGCCUCCUCUGACUUGGAGAAUUCUCAUGAACCUUUAUGGCUACCAUGUGUCUCUGGAAAGAGGCCAAGCAUUUACCCUUUUAUAAGCUAUAUAAAGGCAAGCUAGGAAUGUAUGUGGUAGUUCAAACGUUUUUCAGAAAUGUGCUAUAUUCAACAACAGGCGCCCAAUCCUGCUAUUGCUGAAGCAAUAGUAGUGUGGUGACAUAGUCAGGACAGAAUUGCCAAGCUGUUCAGCAAGGAUUAUUUAUUUUUUAUAGCCAUAUAUGACGCAUUGCCUCUGUCCUUCCUUUCUACAUUUUUACAUACCAUAGCAGCAAUCUGAGAUGACUUUGGAGGAAACCAGUUUAUAUAACCACUGAUCUGCACUGCAGAAAUCAACCUAGCCUUCUUGAUUUAUUUCCCAAAGCUCUCCUGCAUGGUUUCUGUCUUGAUUUUCUUGUCAACAUGAUUUAGUGCAUGAUUUAGUCUCUGGGGAUG
ensembl:lncRNA